UACGGAGGGGGCAAGCGUUAUUCGGAAUCAUUGGGCGUAAAGGGCGCGUAGGCGGCUUCAUAAGUCUUGGGUGAAAGCCCUCGGCUCAACCGAGGAAUUGCCUUGGAUACUGUGAAGCUCGAGGCUGGAAGAGGCUAGUGGAAUUCCCGGUGUAGCGGUGGAAUGCGUAGAGAUCCGGAAGAACACCGGUGGCGAAGGCGGUCUGCUGGGCAGUAGCUGACACUGAGGCGCGACAGCGUGGGGAGCAAACAGG
rnacentral:rRNA from 1 species